GAUGAACGCUGGCGGCGUGCCUAAUACAUGCAAGUCGAGCGAACAGACGAGGAGCUUGCUCCUCUGACGUUAGCGGCUGACGGGUGAGUAACACGUGGAUAACCUACCUAUAAGACUGGGAUAACUUCGGGAAACCGGAGCUAAUACCGGAUAAUAUAUUGAACCGCAUGGUUCAAUAGUGAAAGACGGUUUUGCUGUCACUUAUAGAUGGAUCCGCGCCGCAUUAGCUAGUUGGUAAGGUAACGGCUUACCAAGGCAACGAUGCGUAGCCGACCUGAGAGGGUGAUCGGCCACACUGGAACUGAGACACGGUCCAGACUCCUACGGGAGGCAGCAGUAGGGAAUCUUCCGCAAAGGGCGAAAGCUUGACGGAGCAACGCCGCGUGAGUGAUGAAGGUCUUCGGAUCGUAAAACUCUGUUAUUAGGGAAGAACAAAUGUGUAAGUAACUAUGCACGUCUUGACGGUACCUAAUCAGAAAGCCACGGCUAACUACGUG
rnacentral:rRNA from 1 species